GCACUUGUCUUAUUUUAGAAGAACAGUCUCGUCUCACAAUGAAGAUCAUUUCUUUAUUAUUAUCCGUUUUUGUGGCUCUGAGUGGCCUGAUGGGAUCAGCUCGCGCCACGCCCGACGCCCUCGCCCUGGCUGACCCUAGCCCCGUGGCUGACCCCGUGGCUGAUCCCGUGGCUGACCCAUGGUUCUUGCACAAGCGAAAGCACUACUACCCUCGCCGCCGCUACUAUCCCCGCUACCCCUACCACUACUGGUGAAUGAAGGCGACGGCGACCGCGACUUCCGCCCUCUCGGAUCUUCAGACUGGGACAUCCCUCCGGCGCCUCUUUUGACUUUUGAAACACAUCAUCAUUUCAUUAUCAAAUCUAUGAUAAUAAACCGGAUAAAAUCA
rnacentral:lncRNA from 1 species